UGUCGAUGAAGAGCGCAGCCAACUGUGUGAAUUAAUGUGAACUGCGUACUGAUUCGAACAUCGACAUCUUGAACGCAUAUUGCGGCCAUGGGCUAGCCCGUGGCCACGCCUGUCCGAGAGUCG
rnacentral:rRNA from 1 species